rnacentral:sRNA from 1 species
AGCCAGGGCGACGGCCGCCUCCACCGGGU